AAUUGCUAUAAAAACAAACAAACACUAUGACAUUCAAGACUGGGACAAGGGCUGCUCGAAUUACAACRAAAAUUUCUUAGACUUUGGUAAUUGUCGCAGUGCUGCUGUGGACUAUUAGUUCAGUUACAUAUCUUUCAGAAAUUACGCUGAAAAACAGACAUGGUACUGCAAUAGGGGAGCUGGAGAGGGUUGCGGUUGUAACAUAAAUGUAAAGCCUGGGAUUAAAUAAAUUUCCAUAUACCAUU